rnacentral:rRNA from 1 species
CCUACGGGAGGCAGCAGUAGGGAAUCUUCCGCAAUGGACGAAAGUCUGACGGAGCAACGCCGCGUGAGUGAUGAAGGCUUUCGGGUCGUAAAACUCUGUUGUUAGGGAAGAACAAGUACGAGAGUAACUGCUCGUACCUUGACGGUACCUAACCAGAAAGCCACGGCUAACUACGUGCCAGCAGCCGCGGUAAUACGUAGGUGGCAAGCGUUAUCCGGAAUUAUUGGGCGUAAAGCGCGCGCAGGCGGUUUCUUAAGUCUGAUGUGAAAGCCCACGGCUCAACCGUGGAGGGUCAUUGGAAACUGGGGAACUUGAGUGCAGAAGAGAAAAGCGGAAUUCCACGUGUAGCGGUGAAAUGCGUAGAGAUGUGGAGGAACACCAGUGGCGAAGGCGGCUUUUUGGUCUGUAACUGACGCUGAGGCGCGAAAAGCGUGGGGAGCAAACAGGGAUUAGAUACCCUGGUAGUCCACGCCGUAAACGAUGAGUGCUAAGUGUUAGAGGGUUUCCGCCCUUUAGUGCUGCAGCUAACGCAUUAAGCACUCCGCCUGGGGAGUACGGUCGCAAGACUGAAACUCAAAGGAAUUGACGGGGGCCCGCACAAGCGGUGGAGCAUGUGGUUUAAUUCGAAGCAACGCGAAGAACCUUAC